rnacentral:rRNA from 1 species
GACGAACGCUGGCGGCGUGCUUAACACAUGCAAGUCGAGCGGUAAGGCCCUUUCGGGGGUACGACGAGCGGCGAACGGGUGAGUAACACGUGGGUGACCUGCCCUCAGCUCUGGGAUAAGCCUGGGAAACCGGGUCUAAUACUGGAUAUGACUCCAUGACGCAUGUUGUGGGGUGGAAAGCCUUGUGCGGCUGAGGAUGGGCCCGCGGCCUAUCAGCUUGUUGGUGGGGUGAGGCCUACCAAGGCGACGACGGGUAGCCGGCCUGAGAGGGCGACCGGCCACACUGGGACUGAGACACGGCCCAGACUCCUACGGGAGGCAGCAGUGGGGAAUCUUGCGCAAUGGGCG